UGGGAUUCUUAACUGACUGGGCCACCUAGGUGCCCCACAACAAAUGUUCUUUCUUUUAAAACCAGAAAAAACGUUAACAGACGUUAACAAAGCUCAGACUAACAUCUCCAUAGAUAUUUUUAUGUUAAUUCAAUGAGACAUCGGCAUCGUUCAUUACAUCUCUCCUGCCCUAAUACAGCAGGCACUACUUACACCUUUCUGUAGAACCAGAGAUUAAAUUUAAAAAAAAAUUUUUAGAUCAUGACCUGAGCUGAAACCAACCAAGCCACCCAAGUGCCCCUCCAAAGAGAUUUUCAACUAUGCUUGCUUAUAUGAGUCCUACUACUUUUCAAUUUAAUUGGGAGACAUAAGAGUCGACCAUUAACAUACACUGUAUAUACUGAUACUUUUAAUUGUAUUAAAGGCUUACAAUUCUCCCCCCCCAACAUAAGAUCAAAGCUUCUCAAACGCUUUCAAAGGAUCUAUUUUUUUUUUUUUAAUUUAUUUUUACUUCUGUUUGAGAAAGAGUGUGACUAAGGGCGCAGCAGAGAGAGAGGGAGAAUCUCAAGCAGGUUCUGUGCUAUCAUCGCAGAGCCUGAUGUGGGGCUCGAACGCACGAAACUGAGAUCAUGACCCGAGCCGAAAUCAAGAGUGGAACCCUUAACCGACUGAAGCCACCCAGCAGGGAUAGUGCACUGGGCUAACUCCAGGACAUCAGCACCACGCCCAUACUCUUAAUGCAGAGAAAUGCUCAUUUUA